GGGCAGCGGAAAGCUCCUUUGUUUCCUGUUGUGCAAUCCUAAAUAGAGGAAAAGAUAUAUUUCAGUGUGGAUCUUUAGUCUACAUAGAGAUGGCAUUAAAGCAGAAGUUCCAGAGCCACAUCAAAUAUUGGAGAUUGAAAACCAAGAACACAUCUAAUGCUGCUCAAAAUCUGGUGGCCAAUGUUGAGAAGAGGAUACUGGACUAGAUGGACCUGAACCAGCAACGCUCUUUUUAUGCUCUCAUGUCUUCCUGUUUUCUCAUCCCUGUACAGGAAAGAUACAAAUUAUUUUUGAAAAACAGAAACAUAAGACAGAAAAAACGUGUCUGCGGCAAAGCAAAACAACAAACUUCAGAGAUUACCCUGGGCCCCUCCAGACUGGUGUUUUCCUAUAGGGAUAUCCUGCAAAAUAUUAUUGGCACAAUAAAAGCAGAUCACAUUACUAAAAGCUGCAGCAUCCUGGGAAGAAGAUAUCGAGGGAGACGAGUUGAAUGUGUGCGUGUGCUCGAAAAUAUGGGGGGGGGACUCUCUCUCUAACUCGCAGGCACGCUGCUUCCUUGUAUCCUUCAGCCAGCCAAGAGUUAACAAAAUGAAGAGCUCUCAUGGAGGGUGUUCUCGGCAGUGAAAGGUGGAUGUGUUACUGGAUGUUAAGAGAAACGGUUCACUCAUCUGUCCACCAGGAGCCUGUGGUUUGAGCUUUCCACAUUUGAAGAUCUAGGCUUACAUACAGCGAAACUUCCUUUCGCAAACCUUAUCUGUGCACCCAGCUGGGGAAUCUUCUGCGCUCUUCACACAUGGCUGGGAUUUAACUGAGGAGUGGGGGAUGCUGCUGUGAGGAGUUCCCCUUUAGUUGGAUUUUUGACAGGACUCCCUCAGGUUGUCUGGAUGAAUGAGUGCCUUUCAGAGCCGGAGAAGGUAAGCCUUCCCUGUGUUACUAUAAGCAUUCCAGUUAGCAUCCCUAGGGACCACAUACAAGCCUGGCAUCGUGCCCAUUUCACACUGGGGAGAUUGGAACCGGUUCUCUCUCCACCCCCUGGCUGUGGAACCAGGUAUAUAACUUAAUUGUUUUUAGUCUUUUUUUUUGCUAUAAAAACAACAAUCCAAAAAGCAUGCAUCAUUUUGACAAGAUUUUUUUUGCAUGGUUUAAUCUGAGAGGUGCCCGUGUGAUAGUUCAAAUGCCUUAUCUAACAUGUUUGUCUAUUCCUGGAGCCUCAAAGCUAUUGCCAGAUGUUGUGGUAAAGCUAUUAACAUGGACUUACUGGAAAAAGGGGUGUAGGAUGACUGACUUUUAUGUGUUUGCUGAUGAUGGUCUUGUAGGAAACUGGUGUAACCAAAUGUCUGGUCCUCAGGUAAAUUGCCAGGAAACAAACAUACUUGCAUUUAACGUUUAAGUAAAUGCAAAAGACUUCCUCCCACUAAUGUCCUAACUUGAGAAACCAAGCUUUCCAUAGUCUAGUUAAUAUUUCAGCUGUGCCUUUAAAGAAAAGGGCAAAAUACAGUUUAUGGAGUUUCAUGUUUUAUACUUGAGCCCUUAAAGUGUUGCACCCCAAAAUGGAUAGGAUGUCCCAAUCUUUUUUCCAGGUAAUUAAAGCAAUCAACAUAAUAAGCCACAUGUUAAGGCAAAUACAUACUGCUUAGUUUGCAUACAACAGUGAAAGGUUUGGAUAAAAAAGUGAACUUUUUUUUGAGAAUAGCAGCUUUCAUCCUGCGGUGGUCUGAAAACAUAACAAAAAUAUCCACAAUGAAGUGUUCCUCUUGUGCAACUCAAAGGUGAUUCUGGCAGCGAAAGGUGGGUCUGUAAAUGGAUGUCAGAAAGCAAAUCCCUCUUCUGUCCACCACCAGCUUGUGGUCAGAGCUUCUGUAUUUUGAGGAUCUAUGUCAGGCUGCAUAUAGGAAACUAU